UACGUAGGGGGCUAGCGUUUUUCGGAAUUACUGGGCGUAAAGCGCGUGUAGGCGGGCCGUUAAGUCGGGGGUGAAAGCCCAGAGCUCAACUCUGGAAUUGCCUUCGAUACUGGCGGCCUGGAGCAUGAUAGAGGCGAGUGGAAUUGCGAGUGUAGAGGUGAAAUUCGUAGAUAUUCGCAGGAACACCAGUGGCGAAGGCGACUCGCUGGAUCAUUGCUGACGCUGAGACGCGAAAGCGUGGGGAGCAAACAGG
rnacentral:rRNA from 1 species